GAUGAACGCUGGCGGCGUGCCUAAUACAUGCAAGUCGAGCGAACGGACGAGAAGCUUGCUUCUCUGAUGUUAGCGGCGGACGGGUGAGUAACACGUGGAUAACCUACCUAUAAGACUGGGAUAACUUCGGGAAACCGGAGCUAAUACCGGAUAAUAUUUUGAACCGCAUGGUUCAAAAGUGAAAGACGGUCUUGCUGUCACUUAUAGAUGGAUCCGCGCUGCAUUAGCUAGUUGGUAAGGUAACGGCUUACCAAGGCAACGAUGCAUAGCCGACCUGAGAGGGUGAUCGGCCACACUGGAACUGAGACACGGUCCAGACUCCUACGGGAGGCAGCAGUAGGGAAUCUUCCGCAAUGGGCGAAAGCCUGACGGAGCAACGCCGCGUGAGUGAUGAAGGUCUUCGGAUCGUAAAACUCUGUUAUUAGGGAAGAACAUAUGUGUAAGUAACUGUGCACAUCUUGACGGUACCUAAUCAGAAAGCCACGGCUAACUACGUGCCAGCAGCCGCGGUAAUACGUAGGUGGCAAGCGUUAUCCGGAAUUAUUGGGCGUAAAGCGCGCGUAGGCGGUUUUUUAAGUCUGAUGUGAAAGCCCACGGCUCAACCGUGGAGGGUCAUUGGAAACUGGAAAACUUGAGUGCAGAAGAGGAAAGUGGAAUUCCGUGUGUAGCGGUGAAAUGCGCAGAGAUAUGGAGGAACACCAGUGGCGAAGGCGACUUUCUGGUCUGUAACUGACGCUGAUGUGCGAAAGCGUGGGGAUCAAACAGGAUUAGAUACCCUGGUAGUCCACGCCGUAAACGAUGAGUGCUAAGUGUUAGGGGGUUUCCGCCCCUUAGUGCUGCAGCUAACGCAUUAAGCACUCCGCCUGGGGAGUACGACCGCAAGGUUGAAACUCAAAGGAAUUGACGGGGACCCGCACAAGCGGUGGAGCAUGUGGUUUAAUUCGAAGCAACGCGAAGAACCUUACCAAAUCUUGACAUCCUUUGACAACUCUAGAGAUAGAGCUUUCCCCUUCGGGGGACAAAGUGACAGGUGGUGCAUGGUUGUCGUCAGCUCGUGUCGUGAGAUGUUGGGUUAAGUCCCGCAACGAGCGCAACCCUUAAGCUUAGUUGCUAUCAUUAAGUUGGGCACUCUAAGUUGACUGCCGGUGACAAACCGGAGGAAGGUGGGGAUGACGUCAAAUCAUCAUGCCCCUUAUGAUUUGGGCUACACACGUGCUACAAUGGACAAUACAAAGGGCAGCGAAACCGCGAGGUCAAGCAAAUCCCAUAAAGUUGUUCUCAGUUCGGAUUGUAGUCUGCAACUCGACUACAUGAAGCUGGAAUCGCUAGUAAUCGUAGAUCAGCAUGCUACGGUGAAUACGUUCCCGGGUCU
rnacentral:rRNA from 1 species